rnacentral:rRNA from 1 species
CCUUCGGGUUGUAAAGCUCUUUUAGUCGGAAAGAAAGGAUUGCAACGAAUAAUUGUGAUUUAUGACGGUACCGACAGAAAAAGCACCGGCUAACUACGUGCCAGCAGCCGCGGUAAUACGUAGGGUGCGAGCGUUAAUCGGAAUUACUGGGCGUAAAGGGUGCGCAGGCGGUUUUGCAAGUCAGAUGUGAAAGCCCCGGGCUUAACCUGGGAAUUGCGUUUGAAACUACAAGGCUAGAGUGCAGCAGAGGGGAGUGGAAUUCCAUGUGUAGCAGUGAAAUGCGUAGAGAUGUGGAAGAACACCGAUGGCGAAGGCAGCUCCCUGGGUUGACACUGACGCUCAUGCACGAAAGCGUGGGGAGCAAACAGGAUUAGAUACCCUGGUAGUCCACGCCCUAAACGAUGUCAACUGGUUGUCGGAUCUAAUUAAGGAUUUGGUAACGUAGCUAACGCGUGAAGUUGACCGCCUGGGAAGUACGGUCGCAAGAUUAAAACUCAAAG